rnacentral:misc_RNA from 1 species
AAAAUUGCCAAUUAUAUCCCCUCUACCUAAAAAUUAAUACUCAUAGUUCACUAGAUUGAUUUACCUCGGAUCACUAGAACAUCUCUCUCCAAUUCAUCAGAGAAUAUUAUUUCCUUCGAAUCAUUUUAUCUACGCGACAAUCUCAAAAUUGAGUUCCCGGUGACUGAAUGACAUACCCGCAACAGUGAAUCUUAGAGCUUGUCUUGGUAGAAUGUUUGCUAGUUUCGAAACCUUCAAUUCUUUGCCUGGGAAUAUAGGAAUGUCCCAAGGAUAGCAAUGGCAGCUCCCAAUGCAUUCACAGGCUGGACAGGUGUGCGGAAGAUUAUGAUGGAGGAG